GCCCGGGUGGCUCAGUCAGUUAAGCGUCUGACUUCGGCUCAGGUCAUGAUCUCGCGGUCCGUGGGUUCGAGCCCCAUGUCGGGCU
rnacentral:tRNA from 1 species